rnacentral:lncRNA from 1 species
GAAGGUUGGGGCGGGCAGGCAGACCAGCACCACAGCUGGUAACUCCACCUCCCAUCACAGCAGAGGGUGUGGGGUGGGCUAACCAACAGCCGCAGUACCAGUACCACGGACUGGAAUCCUGCCUGCAUCUGCCCUCCCGAGGACAGCGCAGCCCACAAGGAUAAGGCUUUCCCAAUUCCUUCAGGGUACAUCUGGCUGGUGUCUUGAUCACUACAAAUGCUAGUGACCAAGACAGAGGAUCUGCAGAUGACUUGUCUCCCCCACCCAGGGACCAGGGGGUAUGUGAGGGGACUCCUGCAGGACACAAAGAUGUAUGCCUGAGCAAACUGGUAAUGCAUGGAACAUUGAGAACCGCUGGCUACAGAUGCUGUGGGAGCCAGUGCCACUGAUCUCAGCCAAGAGGCUAAGAAGUGAUGAGCGCGCACACACACGAGCCAUCAGGACGCAGAAGUAAGACUGCUAUUUAACCUCAGAAUCCACUUCGGACUGCUAUGUGUCUUGAAAAUUUCAGCAAUGGAUGCAAGGAUAUUUCCUGAGGUCAUGGAAACUGGAAAAGCCAGUGGAAACCAGGCAGACACAGUUCAUAAGGAGAAUACAGUGGAUCUCUCAAACAACCCCAGACAUCCCCCUACCACGAUGUCAAGGCAAAGGAGUCCACUGAAUUGUAUUCACCAGAUGGUCAGGCUACAGGGACACAGCCAUUCUGUCCCUCUGCUCAGGACAACUGUGAAAAGCUCCUCUCUGGGAGACUGGCAACAUUAGAAAGAUUAUAAACGUGGCCACUGAGACUGUAGCUCAGUACUGGCCCAUUACUGGAGAAGACCAGGCCCACUGUUGCAUUUUAAACACUGCAUAUCCUUCAACCCUCUAAACCUUUCAGUGCCUAGCCUACACAUGUGUGCACACCUGCACACUUACAAAAUGCACUCACACCCGACUGAUCAGCAGAGCUGAAGCCCAGAAAUAAGAAGCAUUUUUUUCAAUAGAUGGUUAAGGAAACUGUGGAACAUGUGUACCACAGAAAGUGGGUGUUCUUGGUGGACUGCUAUAGACAGAAGUGAGGAAGACCAAGUCCAGAAGAAAUGCUUGGACCGUUUGGAUAAACAGCAUGGGUUGCACAAGCACCUGCCUGUCUGUUCAGAAGUGAGAAUGGGCUCCCUCCAGCAGACAGAAGAAAAGACUGGAGAACAACUUAACCCAAGCCAAGCUCCCCAACUCCUUAAAUAAUCCAUACGGCAACUAGAAAAUGAUCUAGUCAUGAAGGGUUUGGCAAGAUGGAACAGCAGGUAAAAGCGCUUACCACGCCAGCCUGACAACAAGAAUCAGGUUCUUGGACCCCCCACAUUCAAAGGAGAGCACAGAGGAAGCAGCCCCCACCCCCAGCUGUGUCACGAACGCUGCUGUGUGCAUGCGUAUAUGCGUAUACAGCACACAAUAAUAAAAAAAAAAAUAGAAAAUGAGACUCA